rnacentral:lncRNA from 1 species
ACAGUAGGUACGGUGCAGCCAUCGUUAUUAUGCAUCCAUCCAUCGGAUCUUAUUUUUCGGGGUUCAGCUUCGCUUUCAUAUAGUAGUACUGUACAUGAUAUCUAGCUCAGGCCUUGUUUAGUUCACCCUGAAAACCAAAAAGUUUUCAAGAUUCCCUGUGACAUCGAAUCUUGUGGCACAUGCAUGAAACAUUAAAUAUAGACGAAAACAAAAACUAAUUACACAGUUUAGCUGAAAAUCACGAGACGAAUCUUUUGAUCCUAGUUAGUGCAUGAUUGGAUAAUAUUUGUCAUAAACAAACGAAAGUGCUACAGUUCCGAAAAGUUUUCACUUUUCGGAACUAAACAAGGCCUCAACCGCCGCUGACGAGGCUCGCUCGCGCCCGCAAAGCCAUCCAUCAUCCAUGGCAGCAGCAGCAGCAGCAGGAUAUCGUCGUCGUCGUCAUCCAUUCGGCCGUUCGGCGAGGGACGGAUGCAUCACCUCUGCAGACACAUCACACAAACAGAUGGCGAAGGGGGCGCGGCCGGGCGUGCAACUGCAAAAGGAUGAGGUCCGAUGCGGUUGGGUGCCUGCAACGGUUUGGGUUUUUCCUGAAUCGGGAAUCGGGAUUCAAAGAGACUAGUCUCUACUGUACUUGUAAUAAAGAGGAGCAGCGAGCCGAGAGGCCAUGCAGAUGCAGUGCAGGUGAGCAGAGCUGACGCACGGGCCCAGGUGGUCGUCCAUGUGUUGCAGCACAACAGGCACCGUGUCCCAUUCCCAUGUCUUUCCCUGAGAGGCUGACUAUUGUCGCUAUUGGGUGGGUGAGUGGACCACCACCGCCCGCC